UACGUAGGGGGCAAGCGUUGUCCGGAUUUAUUGGGCGUAAAGAGCGUGUAGGCGGCCAGAUAGGUCUGCUGUGAAAACUCGAGGCUUAACCUCGAGAUGUCGGCGGAAACCAUCUGGCUAGAGUCCGGAAGAGGAGAGUGGAAUUCCUGGUGUAGCGGUGAAAUGCGCAGAUAUCAGGAAGAACACCCGUGGCGAAGGCGGCUCCUCUGGGACGGUACUGACGCUGAGACGCGAAAGCGUGGGGAGCGAACAGG
rnacentral:rRNA from 1 species